UACGGAGGGUGCAAGCGUUAAUCGGAAUUACUGGGCGUAAAGCGCGCGUAGGCGGUUAGUUAAGUUAGAUGUGAAAGCCCCGGGCUCAACCUGGGAACUGCAUUUAAAACUGGCUAACUAGAGUAUGGUAGAGGAGAGUGGAAUUUCAGGUGUAGCGGUGAAAUGCGUAGAUAUCUGAAGGAACAUCAGUGGCGAAGGCGGCUCUCUGGACCAAUACUGACGCUGAGGUGCGAAAGCGUGGGUAGCAAACGGG
rnacentral:rRNA from 1 species